rnacentral:rRNA from 1 species
CAGUCGCCGCGGGAAUACAGAGGGUGCGAGCGUUAAUCGGAUUUACUGGGCGUAAAGCGUGCGUAGGCGGCUUCUUAAGUCGGAUGUGAAAUCCCUGAGCUUAACUUAGGAAUUGCAUUCGAUACUGGGAAGCUAGAGUAUGGGAGAGGAUGGUAGAAUUCCAGGUGUAGCGGUGAAAUGCGUAGAGAUCUGGAGGAAUACCGAUGGCGAAGGCAGCCAUCUGGCCUAACACUGACGCUGAGGUACGAAAGCAUGGGGAGCAAACAGGAUUAGAUACCCCCGUAGUCCCUGUCUCUUAUAC